CGAGGGUCUGCCACUGUGCCACUCUACCAAAGACUGGAGGAAGCUGCAGGGACUAGUGGAAGGUCAACCCGUGGAUGGAGCGGCCUCCUCCUUCUUAUGGAAGUCCCACCAUCAACCGUCGUCACGUAUUCAGAACGGUGCUGCAAUUAGCCGUCUAAAUACAGAUAAUGAAGAAACUCUUCUGCAUCUACAGCUGUCAGAGGACAUUAGACUCCGGCUCCACUCGACCUCUCUGGAGUUAACCGCCCAAGCAAAUCACUGUUUAAUCGCCGGGUCUGGCCAAGACUUCCCUCUCUAACAUCUCUAUUAGGGCAGGUUGGGGGAGGAUUCCACAAUGGAAUUACUCUCGUUAAAACUGAAUUCCCUAUGUAUCCCUUAUUGAAUACAUGUAAACCCUCACAAACUUUUACAGAUGCACAAUUGAGCGCAUCCUGUCAGGCUGUAUCACCGCCUGGUACAGCAACUGCACCGCCCACAACCGUAAGGCUCUCCAGAGGGUGGUGCGGUCUGCCCAACGCAUCGCCGGGGGCAAACUACCUGCCCUCCAGGACGGUACCCGAUGUCACAGGAAGGCCAAAAAGAUCACCAAGGACAAUAACCAUCCGAGCCACUGCCUGUUCACCCCGCAAUCAUCCAGAAGGAAAGGUCAGUAGAGGUGAAUGAAAGCUGGGACCGAGAGACUGACAAACAGCUUCUAUCUGAAGCCCAUCAGACUGUUAAAACAGCCAUCACUAGCACAGAGAGGCUGCUGCCUACAUGCAGACUUGAAAUCAUUGGCCACUUUAACAAAUGGAACACUAGUCUCUUUAAAAAUGUUUACAUAUCUUGCAUUACUCAUCUCAUAUGUAUAUACUGUAUUCUAUACUAUUCUACUGUAUCUUAGCCCAUGCCGCUCCACAUAUUUAUAUAUUCUUAUUCCAUUCCUUUACUUAGAUUUGGGUCUAUUAGGUAUUUGUUGUGGAAUUGUUAGAUUACUUGUUAGAUAUUGCUACACUGUCAUAUUUAGAAACACAAGCAUUUCGCUACACUCUCAUUAACACCUGUAUGUGAUUUGAUUUAGUAAGGCCCCUUAAACCCUGUCUAUAGAGAUGUGUUUACAGUACUGUCAUCAAGGACCCUGGAUUCACUACCUCUCCUUCCCCUCUUCUUUACCUUUCUGUGCCCUUCACUCUUUGUUUCUCUCUUGAACUAACCCUUAAUGGAUGUCUUAACGAUUCUCAAAUGAGAUUCCUCUUUACAAAGCCAUCAGCUCAGCAAGCCAAACAUAGCACAGACUCAAAGGUUAUGUGAUCAGUUUUCCCAUUCACCCAUUCAUUCGAACUUAGAAGCUUUGUAGGGGUUCUUCAUAUACUUGUUUAACCUUGUCCUCUGAAAGUUCCCAGCAUCUUAUUAAAGUUCCCAACAGAUAAAAAAAAAA
ensembl:lncRNA